AUUGAACGCUGGCGGCAUGCUUUACACAUGCAAGUCGAACGGUAACAGGCCGCAAGGUGCUGACGAGUGGCGAACGGGUGCGUAAUGCAUCGGAACGUGCCCAGUCGCUGGGGGUAACUACUCGCAAGAGUAGCCAAUGCCGCAUACGAUCUAUGGAUGAAAGCGGGGGACCGUAAGGCCUCGCGCGAUUGUAGCGGCCGAUGUCAGAUUAGGUAGUUGGUGGGGUAAAGGCUCACCAAGCCAACGAUCUGUAGCUGGUCUGAGAGGACGACCAGCCACACUGGGACUGAGACACGGCCCAGACUCCUACGGGAGGCAGCAGUGGGGAAUUUUGGACAAUGGGCGCAAGCCUGAUCCAGCAAUGCCGCGUGAAGGAAGAAGGCCUUCGGGUUGUAAACUGCUUUUGUACGGAACGAAACGGCUCUGGUUAAUACCCGGGGAUAAUGACGGUACCGUAAGAAUAAGCACCGGCUAACUACGUG
rnacentral:rRNA from 1 species